GAUGAACGCUGGCGGCGUGCCUAAUACAUGCAAGUCGAGCGAACAGAUGAGGAGCUUGCUCCUCUGACGUUAGCGGCGGACGGGUGAGUAACACGUGGAUAACCUACCUAUAAGACUGGGAUAACUUCGGGAAACCGGAGCUAAUACAGGAUAAUAUAUUGAACCGCAUGGUUCAAUAGUGAAAGACGGUUUUGCUGUCACUUAUAGAUGGAUCCGCGCCGCAUUAGCUAGUUGGUAAGGUAACGGCUUACCAAGGCAACGAUGCGUAGCCGACCUGAGAGGGUGAUAGGCCACACUGGAACUGAGACACGGUCCAGACUCCUACGGGAGGCAGCAGUAGGGAAUCUUCCGCAAUGGGCGAAAGCCUGACGGAGCAACGCCGCGUGAGUGAUGAAGGUCUUCGGAUCGUAAAACUCUGUUAUUAGGGAAGAACAAAUGUGUAAGUAACUAUGCACGUCUUGACGGUACCUAAUCAGAAAGCCACGGCUAACUACGUG
rnacentral:rRNA from 1 species